rnacentral:misc_RNA from 1 species
GUUGAUAUGUAUAAAGACCAUGGAAUAUUUUUGACGUUAUUAAUAUUUGACAAAUGUAAAAUAACCGUAUUUAGAUUCUAAAAUCAAAAAGGUCAAUGAUGUUUUCAGAUUAUAUUUAUCGAAGCAAAAAGGUUUAUCGAAUGAAAAGAAUUAACUCGCCUUUGAAAAGAUGUGUAAGAAAGGAGAUAUCUCAAGAGUGAUAACAUGAUAAGAAAAC